AUCCAUCUGAUGAGUUCCGAAUAGAAUGAAACGCGCGUCUUGAAU
rnacentral:hammerhead_ribozyme from 1 species